GGGUGGAUUCCUGAGCGGUCAAAGGGGCCUGGCUGUAAACCAGGUGGCAUUGCCUUCGUGGGUUCGAAUCCUACUCCACCCACCA
rnacentral:tRNA from 2 species